rnacentral:tRNA from 1 species
CUAGACAGGUGGGCCUCGAUCCCACAAAUAAUUAGUUAACAGCUAAUCACCCAACCCAGCGGGCUUCUAUCCG